UCCUGCAUCGAAAGGUGAUCAUGGCGUUGUCGUGGCUGUGGUCAUUUAAACAUGCAGGAAGAUGAAGCUGAGAGCCUUUCCCGUGUUUGCAGGACCGACGGUUCCUGUCGAACUCUGGUGUUCUCAGACA